rnacentral:rRNA from 1 species
UAGGGAAUCUUCGGCAAUGGGGGGAACCCUGACCGAGCAACGCCGCGUGAGUGAAGAAGGUUUUCGGAUCGUAAAGCUCUGUUGUUAAGGAAGAACGAGUGUGAGAAUGGAAAGUUCAUACUGUGACGGUACUUAACCAGAAAGGGACGGCUAACUACGUGCCAGCAGCCGCGGUAAUACGUAGGUCCCGAGCGUUGUCCGGAUUUAUUGGGCGUAAAGCGAGCGCAGGCGGUUAGAAAAGUCUGAAGUGAAAGGCAGUGGCUCAACCAUUGUAGGCUUUGGAAACUGUUUAACUUGAGUGCAGAAGGGGAGAGUGGAAUUCCAUGUGUAGCGGUGAAAUGCGUAGAUAUAUGGAGGAACACCGGUGGCGAAAGCGGCUCUCUGGUCUGUAACUGACGCUGAGGCUCGAAAGCGUGGGUAGCAAACAGG